ensembl:rRNA 5S_rRNA 5S ribosomal RNA
UCUACAGGCUAUACCACCCUGACUGUGACUGAUCUUGUCUGAUCUUGGAAGCUAAGCAGGGUCAGGCCUGGUUAGUAUUUGGAUGGGGGGAAAUCCCUGUGAGAC